rfam:Schistosoma haematobium scaffold1538_1, whole genome shotgun sequence.
AUCUAGCUGACGAGUCACAAAUAGGACGAAACGCGCGUCCUGGAU